rnacentral:tRNA from 1 species
GGGGAUUUAGCUCAGCGGCAUAAGCACCUGCCUUGCAAGCAGGCGUUUGGUCGUGAGUUCGAUCCCCU